CCUUUAGAUGUUCUGGGCCGCACGCGCGCUACACUGAUGCAUUCAACGAGUUUCUUCCUGGUCCGAGAGGAAUGGGUAACCUUUUGAAAGUGCAUCGUGAUAGGGAUAGACUAUUGCAAUUAUUGGUCUUCAACGAGGAAUUCCUAGUAGACGUAGUUCAUCAGACUGCAUCGAUUACGUCCCUGCCCUUUGUACACACCGCCCGUCGCUCCUACCGAUUGAAUGCUCAGGUGAGCCAUUCGGACUUUCAUCAUGCUGGUUUCCAGUUUUGAUGAAGGAAAGUCUUGCGAACCUUAUCAUUUAGAGGAAGGAGAAGUCGUAACA
rnacentral:rRNA from 1 species